AUUGAACGCUGGCGGCAGGCCUAACACAUGCAAGUCGAACGGUAACAGGGAGCAGCUUGCUGCUUUGCUGACGAGUGGCGGACGGGUGAGUAAUGUCUGGGAAACUGCCCGAUGGAGGGGGAUAACUACUGGAAACGGUAGCUAAUACCGCAUAACGUCGCAAGACCAAAGAGGGGGACCUUAGGGCCUCUUGCCAUCGGAUGUGCCCAGAUGGGAUUAGCUAGUAGGUGGGGUAACGGCUCACCUAGGCGACGAUCCCUAGCUGGUCUGAGAGGAUGACCAGCCACACUGGAACUGAGACACGGUCCAGACUCCUACGGGAGGCAGCAGUGGGGAAUAUUGCACAAUGGGCGCAAGCCUGAUGCAGCCAUGCCGCGUGUAUGAAGAAGGCCUUCGGGUUGUAAAGUACUUUCAGCGGGGAGGAAGGGAGUAAAGUUAAUACCUUUGCUCAUUGACGUUACCCGCAGAAGAAGCACCGGCUAACUCCGUG
rnacentral:rRNA from 1 species